GAUGAACGCUAGCUACAGGCUUAACACAUGCAAGUCGAGGGACCGGCGCACGGGUGAGUAACACGUAUCAAACCUGCCCUUUACUCGGGGAUAGCCUUUCGAAAGAGAGAUUAAUACCCGAUAUAAAGUAUGGGGAUGCGUUCAAUUAGGUUGUUGGUGAGGUAACGGCUCACCAAGCCUUCGAUGGAGAGGGGUUCUGAGAGGAAGGUACACCACAUUGGAACUGAGACACGGUCCAAAAUCGUACGGGAGGAAGCAGUGAGGAACAUUUGUGAAUGGGCGCUAGCCUGACCAAGCCAAGUAGAGUGAAGGAUGAAGGCUUAUGGGUCGUAAACUUCUUUUAUAGAAGAAUAUGUAUUAUAUGAAUAAGGAUCGGCUAACUCCGUGCCAGCAGCCGCGGUAAUUC
rnacentral:rRNA from 1 species